GGAACUCGUGUGGGGCCCAGACAGCACGUGCUUGUCCGCUGUCAAGUGGCUCUACCAGUCUCGGCUAUCUCGUGUCCAUCCGCCUGAAAGGAGCAAGCUCCAGGAAAGACGGCAUCAGGCUCGCGGCUCCUCCCGAGGCAGCCGAGCGCUGCAGCAUCUCUGGUGCCCUAUGUCAGGCGAGCUCUCGCUCGCAGCCCCUCCGGGAGAGGACCACAACAUCAGCGACGCACCUAAGCACGCCGCCCCCGACUAACGCACGCGGCAAGCUAAGGUAGGGAGGUAAGCCGGCAUCUGCGUGAGGCGACGUGGGCCUCACUGACUCAUCUCUAGCUUAGACUGAACACAGGGAGCCUUUCAGCCGCACGCUCUGCUGCUGGCACGUGCAGCCCUGCUUGCCGGCUGACCCGGACCUUCUUCUCGCGCCUCCCCAUCCCUCUCAGCCUUUCGGUUUGCGCAGCGUACAGAUUGCAUGUCCGGGCACAGCUGCCAUCUCAGGUCAGGCGUCCCUUUGCGUCCCCGGUGACCUCCCGCGCUGUCACCUAUGGCGACGAGCAAGGACCGUGCCCCGCGGGGGAGACGGGAGCAUCUCUCCUGAGGCCCAACCGCCCGCGCGACCGCGACCGCAACCUUCGGGGAAGGCCAGCGCCAAGGCCGCGCGGGCGAGCUGGGACAAGGGGCCCCGGUGGCGCUUGACGGGGAAGCCGUCUCUGGGGCAAGGUCCAACCACCGGCACCCACGACGGGAUUUCCCCCUGUAGCUCACAGGCCUCGUGGUUUCCCGUAAUCCAAGUUAAGAGCCUUCACCCUCCUCCGAGAUAGCCAGAGCUGAGAACUCAGCCCAAAGUCACAGCCGCCUUCCCCAAUGCACCGCUGCCAGGAUGCCUGCGACGCGCGGGUCCGCGACGGCGGGUUUCUCCAGCCUCGCUGCCCCGUCUUCUCCCGCCAUCGUUUCCCGUCACCUGCCACAUACUGUCGAAACGCCGAGGUGAGGCAGCUGUUACGAGAUGACAGUCACAAGGCAAAGGAAGGCGGGAAGAUUUUUAGGUAUACGUGGAUGUCACGAACACCGCUCGUGGCCAGCGGGGUGACAUAUAUUUUCCUUUAAUGCUUCACUGACCAAAGAGCCAGGCAGUUAUCAGGUUUCAGGUAUUUAUUAAGUGCACCAGUAUCCUUAAGCAAGAGAGUUUAAACAAUAUAGCAAGUUCCGUAUUUAACAGGGUAAAGAGAACAGACUACACUACAGACAGAGCAAGCAGGGGUGAUACGACCUGUUCCACAUCAGGCGAGGGUCUCAAGUGUGCAGGACGCAAUAAGGGGGGUCCCAGUUCAGCUGAGAGGGAGCUCCACAGAGCUGUUGUUAUUGUCACAUUUUAUACGUUUCUAAGGCGCAUGUCUGUUUUGAUUAGGUUUCUUGAUGUCCUUUUCAGUAGCCAGAACCUGUGUCACUCUGACACACUCCUCUGGGCUCAACCCGCUGGCUGGGUUUUCAAAAGGGAAGGGAAAAGAAAUUAAUGAAAACUUGUGACAAAGGUCUCCACUUCUCAGAUUUAGAAAAGUAAAUAGUGGAAGCCCCCGUCAUGGGUCCUCAUGCCUGAUCAGCAUGGAGUUGUAGACAUUAAUUCCCCUUUCACUUGAUUUAUGAGGCAGCUUUGGUGUGGGUCAGGCUCUUGACAUCAGUUUAGGCCGCAAGUGGUUGGUAGCAGAUAAUAGCGGCGGUGGUGACAAACGCCUUGUUAUCAUACCCUGCACAAGCUGGGGCGUGUGUCCACCGGCAGGGAGAGACCACCCGGCCUGCGCCCGGUCCCGCUCCCCAUCUGUGAACAGUGACACCUUCCCCUCUUCAGCAGGGCUUUGGAGUACACAGUGCCUUGUCUGUUCCCCAGGAUGGAUAAUACCGAUAACUCUCAUUUUACCCUAUGGCAGGAAGGUCUUUGAGUUCAAGUAACCUUUUGCUUUCAGACACUAAGGCUGAAAAAACCUGCAUAACAAGCAAGAAGUGGCAACGCUUAGCUCCAGCGGCUUUGCCUGGAAAGGAAAACCCAGCGACUAACCAGAAACAGACUCAGUCGCUGCACCUCCGCCGCCAGCCAAAACUGGAAAGAAAGAGGCAGUGCGGCAUAUGGGAUUUUAAAGCAAUUUCAUUUUCUUAACAUUCAAGUCGUUUUGUUCAAGGAGCUCUUUUUUGAGCAGAUGGUGUCCCUUUAAACGUUGGAAAAGGCAUGGUGCUGGCAAGCCUGCCAACAACCUUGUAGAAAUUAAAAAUCACCACUUAGGAGAAGGGCAUUUCCGAUGGCUGGCUUUCAUCCCAAGGCUAGUCCCGUGCCCACAUGACCGAAGAUUUUCUCUCCCCAUCACGGUGUGAUCGACCUCUCCAGCUGGGUUGUCUUGGGAACGUUGUCCUGACCCCUGGCCCACGCCGGUUCCCCCUUUGGGUGUGAUUGCAGGGCUCAGGCGGGGGGGUAGCAGGAAUGGGGGACACCUGAAAAGUCCCUGUUUUCCUGCACAACUUCAGCGCCUCAGUCCCCAGCGGGUUUUUCCUGCUGAGCCACAGGCAGGGGGGAUUCCCCCCCCCCCCCCCGGGAGCCUACCUGGAAAUGCGCCUGGCUCGGAAAUGGGACCAAAUCAAACACGGGCAAAUGUUCAAAAUUAUCGUUUUGCUGCCUGUUAAUUAACAUUUCCUCUCCCCCCUCCCCCGAUGCCAUAAAGCAUGUGGGUGUUCCCUGUCCAAAUUUCACCAUGUCAGUGCUUUUAAUUAAGACUUGAUUUCGCACUGGCUCCACGUCUGUGCCUGUUUGGGCGAAGGAAAGGAGGAACAACAGUCUGGAGCCCUGGGUCCACAGCAUUGGGGAUGAAACGACACGGGAGGUAGAGUAGCAGGACCUGGCCUCGGAGAUAUUUUAUUUGUCAUGUGAAAAAUAAGACUGCCACAGCACCAAAACCCCCUGGCAGACCUCACUCAAGCUCAGAGAGAAACCAAGCCAGUUCCCCAUUUGCUUGCAGCCCUCGCUGGGUGCUGUUUACCACUGCAGCCUGGAUACGGUUUUGCUGGGCUGGGUUUUUUUUUUUUUUUGUAGGGAAUGGGGGGAAAUUGAGGGGAGGAAGGAUGAAAAGGGAAUUGCUGGUAAAUUGCUUUCAUUCCUGGGAAAUAUAUGUAUACUAAAGAGAGUUUAACCAUCUGGUUUUCCCAUCUUGCUCCCUUUCACCCCAAACCGAGGAUGACUUUUAAGUGAUGGCCCUCAUUACAUUAGCUAGAUCAUCUCUCAUCCAAGCCAUCUGUUCAUUCAUCCAGUUUUUUAAAUAUUUUGAUAGACUUCAUUUUUUUGAACGCCCUGCUGCUGAGUGCACGCUGCCUGAGCACGCGUGUCCCCUGCUUUGCAUUAGCGCGUGUCCCUCCGGAUCUCCUGGAGGGGCUGUCAUGGGCAAAGUGCCCUUUCUCACCUGGAGCAAUAUUCCCAAAUACCAGUCCCCCCGGACCACACGCUCCAUCCCCACAGCUCUCCCCUGCUUUCCAGCUACCAAAAGUUCAAGGGGAAUUUGGGCUGGAGCAGCAAAUGGAAGGAACUCACCCCGAUUCACCGCAAGAAAGCAGCAAUGUUGAAAUGCUGGAACCAAAGUGGUGGUGCUGGACUGUCGAAUUCACAUUCCUGCUGCAAGGAAGACCUGAGACGAGGCUUUAAAUCCUGGACACAGAAACAGCGAUUCAUGGGUGUUCGUGGGACAGCUCCAAAAUGGCACACGGAGGGGUUGCCGGAGCGCUCCCUGUGAUCCCACAAGCCUGCGCGGGCACUGGCACGUCCCUCCCUCCGUGCUCUCUCCUAUGGGUUUUGCCCCAUGCAGGGGGCUUCAGCAUCCAAGAUGCCACUGUGCAAGAGAGAGGAAGCGACCGUAAUGCAAGCAUAAAAGCAGCUCACGAGCUGCAGUAAAUAUAACAUAUCCCUGUUCAGCUUGCCCAAGCGUGAGCCGACAGGCAAGCCCCACUCAUUAUGGAUAACAAAGCUUGCUCUCUGCUGGAAGCUGAAUCGGGUGCGAGGGAGAGCCGAUAUUAACAGCCCAGCUGUGCCUUUGGGGCCACAGCCCAGGAAUCUUUUUUAUCAACCUUGCACGGUCUCUUGGGCUUAUGUGGAUAUACAAGGUUUUUCAGAUUAGUUUAUUCCAGGGAGCCUCCUGCCCCGUCAGCGCAAUGCAAUACCUAAAGUAAAACCGUGCUUCCCAGCUGUCGGGCUUAUUUUCCAAAAGCCGUGUUCUGGCUGCUGAUUACUGGCUCUGAAAAAUGAUCAGCCGUACAGAAGCCUGAGCCAAGGGACUGCAUUUACAUUGUAUUUACAAGCUGCAGAGGGAGAUAGGGAUGCAGAUAUUACUCUUGCUUUAAAGGGAGAGGAUGAGGCUACUGAAGCGAGCUGGCAGAAAUCUGCCAUAAACGCCCAGAAAAACCUGAAAAAUUGCCUGCAUGUCCUCCCAUUACCAUCAAGCAAUUGGUGAGGUUUGGUCGAGCCCAGAAACUCCUGUAUCAUGAACAAUUGCAGCCUUGGCCUUGCUCCAUUUCUGCAUGCUUCGCUCCGCUUUCAGACUGUCGUGUUUAUACACAGCCCUGACGGGACUCCUUCAAUAUUUGCUUAGCCAAGUACAUGCUCUAAGUUAUGACUGAAAUUCUCCUUUAAUGAGCUCGCCAAGUUCCACUGCUGGCUUAGCAUUUCCUUAAGCUGACACAUGUCAGAAAGCAGGUGACCUACUUUAGAGUUUCUGCUAUGGGAAGGAACAAAUCUGAUUUCUGAGCCAACACCACAUUUCCUAAGAACCUCACAGACUACAGGGAAAAGGUAGAAAUGAGCCAGCUGCUGUUAUAUGCAAAAGGUAAGAGCUUUGAAACCCUCAGUUAACACUGCAAGAAGCCAUGAGAGGGGAAAACGUGCAAAUAAGAAUUGACAGCUCUUGAUCUCGGUCAUACUUGAUGUUGUACCAGAUGGUACAAGGUGCUGUAAACAAGGUUAUGGACGAAAGAAGAUGAGGGAAUGACUUGCCUUGCAAAAAGCUCGGAAGUCACCGUAUUCUUGGUUUAGCCCAGCCCAUGAAGAGCCCAUCAGCCAGUAGCCCCUAAAUGCUUUUGUGCUGUCCACACAGUGCUUGUGGGGUCCUCGACUGCCGGGCCACCACCAGAGCUGCUGCAGUCCAGCGCAGCCCUUUCCCUGCGUCCCUGUGUAGCUGCCGUGCCACGGAGCUGCAGGGGACAGGGAGACCUUCCCCUAGCAGGGGCAUCCCACAGCUGCCCUGCGGGAAGGCGCGGGGCCUGCCUGCCCUGCAGUGGAAGAUGAGACUGCUCUACAGGAAGAGAAAAGAGCACGUCCGAAGUGUUUUCCAAAGAAGAAAACCCCCAAACCCUGCAUGCUAUUUUUUGGUUUUGUUUUACCAUAAUUCAAGGUAUUUUUUUUUGAAAUGAGAAUGUAAUUUUCCUACAAAAGAUAACUGGCAUUUUUUGAUCAACUCUACCACACUAGUUUUACCUGGAGAUCUUAAGGUAGAGGGACAGGAACUCAUGAAGUGCAAGCUCAAAGACAAGACAUUUUGAUGGAAUAGCUUUUCAUUUUUUUGGGAUGUUUCUUUGCUUACUUUCAGUUUCUCAAAAAUAUGGGUCAUUUGCAAAUGAUUUCAAAUUCUCAGAUCUCCGAAUCCUGUGUUGCUGCUGCUCUUUUGCCUGCAGUGAGAAGAUAUUCGCAUAGUCAGAGAGGUUCAGAACAGCAUGGAUCUCUUUGUAGGGUCAGUUAUUCUUCUUACACCAUAUGCUUGACAGGAAUCAGCUUAGGGAAGUCCAAGUAAUAGCAGUACCAAAAGAAAAAAAAAAAAAAAAAAAAGGAUCUAAAUGACGAUAAAAAUUAACUGGAAGAUCUGCAUGCAAGUUCCCUGUAAACUGCAUUCACUUCAGUUCUCCAGACGGGAAACUGCACAAACAAAAUGAAUAAAUAGCCAAUUAAAUUAAGUGUUUGUGCACUUUCCAAGCUUCACUUCUCCACUCAAACAUCAAGUCCAGACUCAUCACCCACGUCAUUUUGAUGGUAGGUUCCCAGUAAUUUUUGCUACUCUUCAAUGGGCCUGCCAACCACAGGAAGAAGGAAGAGAUGCUCCGACAGACCAGUGCUUCUAACCAGCUGGUUAUGGCUCUGGGGAGACCGGUUCAGCCCCCAGCACCCCGUAGGCACCACAUGUGGUAGAGGGAGACAUCUACCACGUGCAUGUGUAAUUCCUCCGUCUGCCAAAAGGCCCCGACUCCGAAUGUUUGCACACUGAGACGCACACUUCUGGCACACCCAGGCCUUCUGGCAAAUUUCAGCUGUGUUUGAGAAAGCAGCAAAAGAGAGAAGAACUUGCAGAAAAAUCUGAACAAAAUAUUUAACUUUUCUAUUCAAAGUCACAUUUGACUAAUAUUUAAUUAUUAAAGUGUAAUUUUCACAUGCAAGACCUUGCCAUGGUCUCC